rnacentral:lncRNA from 1 species
GCUUACACCAAUAUCUUGGAACAUCCGCUGCAACUUGGACGUAUAUUCAAAACCACAAGCUUGUUUAAGUUUAGAGAUCAUGCUUGCCUCAGCAUCAUCACUAGCACUGUUCUGAUGUACAAGUCUUUUUGCAAGCAUUUUAGCAUAGAAUUUUUGAAACACAUCUUUAUCUUCAAUGUAUUUGAAGACAACCAUCACUUGAUUGAGUGUAUCUUCCAAUUCUGCUUCUUCUGGAUUUUUUGAGCUUUUCUUCAGUAAAGAAUCACAGUAUCGUGCCAGUAGCUCU